AACGAACGCUGGCGGCAUGCCUAACACAUGCAAGUCGAACGAGAUCUUCGGGUCUAGUGGCGCACGGGUGCGUAACGCGUGGGAAUCUGCCCUUUGGUUCGGAAUAACAGUUGGAAACGACUGCUAACACCGGAUGAUGACGAAAGUCCAAAGAUUUAUCGCCAGAGGAUGAGCCCGCGUAGGAUUAGCUAGUUGGUGUGGUAAAGGCGCACAAAGGCGACGAUCCUUAGCUGGUCUGAGAGGAUGAUCAGCCACACUGGGACUGAGACACGGCCCAGACUCCUACGGGAGGCAGCAGUGGGGAAUAUUGGACAAUGGGCGAAAGCCUGAUCCAGCAAUGCCGCGUGAGUGAUGAAGGCCCUAGGGUUGUAAAGCUCUUUUACCCGGGAUGAUAAUGACAGUACCGGGAGAAUAAGCCCCGGCUGACUCCGUGCCAGCAGCCGCCGUAA
rnacentral:rRNA from 1 species